rfam:Rattus norvegicus chromosome 15, whole genome shotgun sequence.
GGAAGGGCAAUCUAAGUGUGACCUCUGUCACCCCAUUGAUCACCAAUGUUGAUUCAGCUGAUCUGCUUAGCUAGCCAGGUAUCGUCUUCCUUCCUCAUCACUCCAUAUGCAAUCCUUCCAAAGAUACAUACUUUGUGGAAGAGGAAGACUUUCCCUGAAUAGGGAAGGAGUUCUCUUUUUUCAAAUAUUUAUAAAUAGCCUCACUCCCCUACUAGACCUCAAAAUAAGCUCUUAAAAGUCUUAUAUUAGACUAACCCAUAACCAGAAUUAUCGUGUUCUAUUGAAUGCCUAU